rnacentral:rRNA from 1 species
CUGGCUCAGGACGAACGCUGGCGGCGUGCCUAAUGCAUGCAAGUCGCACGGUGGCCUACGGGCCAUAGUGGCGCACGGCUGAGGAACACGUGGGAACCUGCCCUACCGUGGGGGAUAACGCAGCGAAAGCCGCGCUAAUCCCGCAUCCGCUCCUUCGGGAGGAAAGCCUUCGGGCGCGGUAGGAGGGGCCUGCGGCCCAUCAGGUCGUUGGUGGGGUAAUGGCCUACCAAGCCGGUGACGGGUAGCUGGUCUGUGAGGACGACCAGCCAGACUGGGACUGAGAACGGCCCAGACUCCUACGGGAGGCAGCAGCAAGGAAUUUUCGGCAAUGGGCGCAAGCCUGACCGAGCAACGCCGCGUGCGGGAUGACGGCCUUCGGGUUGUAAACCGCUUUUGAGGGGGG